AUUCGCUUAGAAUUUUCCCAGUGACUUCUUAUGGGUUUCAUAUCAUGAGAGAUAAAAUGUAAUUUUAUUGGGAAGGGCAUUGGAUAAUGUCCAAGUAGCUGAACAGAAGUCCAGCUGAACAGCAAUGGUCAGCAGUAUCAAAAAAAAAAAAAAACCCAGGAGUAUCAGCAAGUUGCACUUCUCUCUUUCCUAGUACAGAUCAUCCUUCAAGAAAAUUAAAGCUGUCUUCAGGCCAAUGCUGGGUCGAAUCUCAGAGCAGAAAGGAAAGUACUUCUUUAGAUAUGAGUAACAUCUUAAAAGUUAAAAUAGGAGUUUAGGAAUUUUGGGGUACAUGACCAGAUUCAGACAAUAUGCUAAGCCAAAAUGUAAUUUGAAUGUUGUAAUUUGUCUGUAAGGCCAUUUCUAUGCUAGGUACAGAAUCUUCUUGCAUCACCCAAGUGAUAUAAAGUCUGUCCUCAUAGUAGUUAUAUUGGUAUAAAAAUGGUUGGAUGACUCUAGAAAAGUAAGUGACUAAUAAGGGAAAUGGCUCUAAAGGCUGAUAGUUGUCACAGCCCUUAACAUUAUUUCUGUACAGUAGAAAAUAGGGGAAUGUCAAAUCUGAACUAAAUUGUGCAUUAUGGACAGUACAGAUUUUACAUUCUUACAACUUACAAAUGAGUGGGCAAAGUAUAGUUUUGUAUUUAAGCAUCCUUGGUGAAAAUGGCUCAGGAUACAAACCCAUUGGCAGCCACCUUCCUGUCUGGUGGUUUUUAUUUCAAGUAUGCCUGCAGCGUAAGAUAUUGUGGCUGUCUAGACUGUAGAUGACUGGCAGACAAUGUGCUUUCCAGGAAGUGAGUGGACAGAUGUGGUCCUGUAUAGUUCCUGCUAACAGCUUGAGGUAGCUACUUUUUCCAGAAGAGUCAGAGUUUGGUAACUAUCCACUCUAGCGGUGUUUUUUAUAACAUCAGUUUAAACUAAAUUGUAAUCCAAGCAAUUCCACAGUUCUCUUUCAGUCUCAGUUAAAGUUACCAAUACAAGAAACUUAUCUGGAAAGCAGGGCCCCCCCACAUUGAUGUGUGGGUGAAAAGAAAAGGGACAUAGCACAGUCAGGAAUACCUAAUACUUUAAUGCAGUGGAGGGCAUCCUUCACAUCUAUGGGAUUUAUUUUAUUUUAAAGAACAGCAGAUUCUGUCAAAUGGAGUCAUGUGCAAAAAGACAUAGAAUUAAAGCAUAAUUUUAAUUCUAAGCUUGUUUGUUGGAAGUUCAAGAAUGGAACUGAGGUCACAACCCUUCCUCUCUCUUUUGAUUGUUUGUUCACACUUUGAGUGUGAAUGAUUGUAGGAGAGAUGCCAGUUUGGUUUCUACCUGAGACAGAAUAAUACGUAGCCUGAUAACGGGUACAAUUGGGUGCCAGAAAGGUUCUCUUCUGCAGACGCAUGAACAUCUACCGGAGCCUAUGUCCUUUUAGUGACAUUCAUGGGAAGUGAGGCUGCAAGGAUACUCUCUGUCAAAACCUACACCUUUCACAAACUGAAUUGUGAAACUGUUCAGGUCCAGCUGAUAAAUUCAAACUCACUCCCAAAGGAGGGAUCCUGCUUCAUCAGGAGUCUGCAGUAAGUCCCAUGAGACUGCUAAGUUCCUGAACAUUGACAGGUUCUUUGGAGAAAAGCGUAAAUCACUGUGGCUCUUUGACCCAGUUAUCACUCUGACAAGGGGAAAGAGAAUCCAACUGAAGUAACCUCACCAGAUCAGGAACUUUCAAGGAAGUCUUGUCUUGGUCACUAAGAGGAAGCAGCAAGGAGCAUAACAGCUUAUUCUGUGUGCAACCAGCAUUUCCCUUUAAGUAUCUGUGGUAGGCGUCUUGGAACUGGAAUCUUCUGUGUGGAAAAGGAACACUGAGUUUGUCCAAAGGAAAUAUAUUAAAAAUUAAAUGAAUGCA